rnacentral:rRNA from 1 species
UACGUAGGGGGGCAAGCGUUUGUCCGGAUUUAUUGGGCGUAAAGAGCGUGUAGGCGGUUUGGUAGGUCCGCUGUGAAAACUCGAGCUCAACCUCGAGACGCCGGUGGAAACCAUCAGACUAGAGUCCGGAAGAGGAGAGUGGAAUUCCUGGUGUAGCGGUGAAAUGCGCAGAUAUCGGGAGGAACACCAAUGGCGAAGGCAGCUCGCUGGGACGUGACUGACGCUGAGACGCGAAAAGCGUGGGGAGCAAACAGG